CCGACACAAAAAGUAGGGGUGGAUUGUAGCAGGUUGGCCCUGCCAUCACGUUAGUGUGUGUGAUUGACAGCUGCUGAUUGACAGCAGUGGGCGGGCAUAAUCUAUUUAUAUGAAUGGACGCUUGCUUCCGGUCUCGUUUCCGUCACUCAUUGUUUUGGCGUGAGCCUGGGCUGCGUUGGUUGCCGAGGGGCCGCAGAUGAAUCGUGAGGGUAAGCAUUUGGUCUGUAGUAUUUACUUGCAAUUGCGGUUGUGAUUUGGAAAUUAUAGCGCCAUUUCCCUCUUGCAGUGCGGCGUUCACUCAGCACUUGUGAUCGCUUGGGAGCGCACUGAUAAACUCCAAGGAGCUAGGAGCUGUGUGGACACUGGUUGGCCUGCUCGUGGAAGUAGUUGGUGUGGCGUGGUGAUCCUCGAAAGCGUUGUGCUGGUGACUCGCGUGUCUGAGCCUUCAUCCGCGGCCCCUCCGGCACGAACCAACCAGUGUGUCUGUGCCUACGGGUCUGUCGGCUGCUGUUUCGCCUGGGACAAUUUGGGUUUGAGUCUCCCCUUGCUUUGCACCUGCAGCGCUGUGGCUUGGCCGUGCUUCGCUGGGUACGGGGAGGAAUUGCGCUUGUAGCCACGCUUGCCCCUUCACCUCGCUUUGCCUGCACGGAGCGUGCAUGUCUGUCGCAACUGUCCGAGGGUGCGCGGUUUCAGUGGCUCCGCCUGCUUUUAACCCCUUUUGUGCUGUGCGUUAUUUAUUUUCAUUUCAUUUAUUUCUGCAUGCUUAUUUGUUUGCUGUGCUUCUGCAUGCUGCUUACUCUGCUAGGUUUGCUGCUUUGCAUGACUCUUCAACUGCUUGUGUGCCAGUGUAGCUAGACCCUGUUAUUCAGGGCUUUAUAUGUGUGCAGUGCUUCUUUUGUUUAUUUAUGUUUCUUUUCAGUUUACUUAUUUGUGUGUUUCUGUGCUUUUGAUUAAUUUACUACUUUUGCAUUUCAUGUGUUUGUUUGGGGUUAAUGUGGGAUUGGGGAAAAUUAAGACUGCCAGCCUCUCCAGCAGUUUGGAGUGUGUCAAGGGCGUGUGAGUGAUGUGAGUGAUAACGUGUAUUGUUUUAUAGUGUGGUGGAACAUGGUAUAUAGUGCAUCGACAGCCUGGUGGUAGAAGGAAGUUCCUGCGUGUGCACACGAUAUAAGAUAAGUAGUACUGCAGAUCCAUAUAGGUUUAGUGAUCUCAGUAGUGCCCCAGGCUGUUUCUCUCUAUCUCUCUCUAUCUCUCUCUAUCUCUCUCUGUCUCUCUCUAUC